GACGAACGCUGGCGGCGUGCCUAAUACAUGCAAGUUGAGCGAUGAAGAUUGGUGCUUGCACCAAUUUGAAGAGCAGCGAACGGGUGAGUAACGCGUGGGGAAUCUGCCUUUGAGCGGGGGACAACAUUUGGAAACGAAUGCUAAUACCGCAUAACAACUUUAAACAUAAGUUUUAAGUUUGAAAGAUGCAAUUGCAUCACUCAAAGAUGAUCCCGCGUUUUAUUAGCUAGUUGGUGAGGUAAAGGCUCACCAAGGCGAUGAUACAUAGCCGACCUGAGAGGGUGAUCGGCCACAUUGGGACUGAGAAACGGCCCAAACUCCUACGGGAGGCAGCAGUAGGGAAUCUUCGGCAAUGGACGAAAGUCUGACCGAGCAACGCCGCGUGAGUGAAGAAGGUUUUCGGAUCGUAAAACUCUGUUGGUAGAGAAGAACGUUGGUGAGAGUGGAAAGCUCAUCAAGUGACGGUAACUACCCAGAAAGGGACGGCUAACUACGUG
rnacentral:rRNA from 1 species